GACGAACGCUGGCGGCGUGCUUAACACAUGCAAGUCGAACGGAAAGGCCCUGCUUUUGUGGGGUGCUCGAGUGGCGAACGGGUGAGUAACACGUGAGUAACCUGCCCUUGACUUUGGGAUAACUUCAGGAAACUGGGGCUAAUACCGGAUAGGAGCUCCUGCUGCAUGGUGGGGGUUGGAAAGUUUCGGCGGUUGGGGAUGGACUCGCGGCUUAUCAGCUUGUUGGUGGGGUAGUGGCUUACCAAGGCUUUGACGGGUAGCCGGCCUGAGAGGGUGACCGGCCACAUUGGGACUGAGAUACGGCCCAGAGUCCUACGGGAGGCAGCAGUGGGGAAUAUUGCACAAUGGGCGGAAGCCUGAUGCAGCAACGCCGCGUGCGGGAUGACGGCCUUCGGGUUGUAAACCGCUUUCGCCUGUGACGAAGCGUGAGUGACGGUAAUGGGUAAAGAAGCACCGGCUAACUACGU
rnacentral:rRNA from 1 species